rnacentral:rRNA from 1 species
UACAUGGGGUGCAAACGUUGCUCGGAAUUAUUGGGCGUAAAGCGCGCGUAGGCGGUUACUCAAGUCGGGUGUGAAAGCCCUCGGCUUAACUGAGGAAGUGCACCCGAAACUGAGUAGCUAGAGUACCAAAGAGGGUCGCGGAAUUCCCGGUGUAGAGGUGAAAUUCGUAGAUAUCGGGAGGAACACCGGUGGCGAAGGCGGCGACCUGGGUGGAUACUGACGCUGAGGCGCGAAAGCGUGGGGAGCAAACAGG